CGCCGGAGGGGCCCAGGUGUGCGAGGGGACCCUGCCCGGAAGGUGGUGAGGGCCUGUGACCUGGGACCCUCUGUUCCAGCUGCUUCUCCACGGACACGCACUGGUUCUCGGGGCCGCACUGCGAGGUGGCCGUCGCCCGGCGAGCGCUGGUGGGGGGCCUGGUGGGGUCGCGGCUGUGCUGCUGCUGCUGCUGCUCCUGGUGUCCCUGAGCGUCUUCGUUGCGCGCUCCCGGAGAGGCGGCCAGGGUGAAGGCGGGUGAGCGCGCUGGGGGUGGGGGUGAGGUCGGCAAAGGGGUCCCAGCUGGGCGGCCCUGCUCUGACGGUGCGUUGCCCCAGCUCAGGUCCUGGGAGGACGACAGGAAAUGGUUCGAGGUCUGGGAUGAAGACACUGUGGGGACGUUUUCAAACUUGGACUCGGAGAACAACCGAACAGGUGAGUCCUGCCUCCUGGGCAGGGGGAACAGGGGCUUUUCUGGGCAUCACUGGGGCCUGGGAAAAACCCAGCGUCCUCCCUUGUCCAGGGCAGACGCGUACUUCGUGUACCUGGAGCAGGGAGUCUCCCCUUCCCUGGGCACCUCCUGAAGACGGCCCAGGUCCUGGACCGGCCAUCCCUACAAGACAGGCACCGGGGCACAGGAGCCCCCCUGCCAGGCCUUGCCUUCCCCACCUUUCUUGCCCCUUCUCUCCUCUCUUUCCUCCUGUUCCCUUUUCUCUCUCUCUAGUCAAGGAUGAAUACCUCCAGGCGGCCUUGAAGAAUGUGGACACCAAUGUGAGGGUGCACAUCCAGAGACCUGAGGUGGCCUCGCCCUUGCCGUGAGUCCUGCACUUCAUGAACCUCUACCCUGCCUCUGACAGUGAGAAGAAACUGAACCACAUCUAUUUCAAGGGAUUGCCCAAGGACUCAUGCAGCUCUGUCUCCUGGUUUCCUUGAGCAAAAUCAGACUAUCUCCCCGACCCUCAUCCUUCUCCCCACUUGGGUGAAACUCACCUGGAGAUCCAGUUCAAAUCCAGACUCUUCUACUGUGGGACCUUGGUCAAGUCAGUAACUUCUCUGAACCUGCAAAAUGAGUAGAGCAUACUUGUCCUGAUAUCUCGUAGUUACUGUGAAAACCAGAGGUGUUGUAAGAUCUCUAUCCCAGUGCACCUCCUGUAUCAGCCCUGUGCUUAUAGGUGGUCUCUCUCAGAUCCCCAGCCCCAGAUCCUUCCAGGGACUCAGACCUCGGUCUCUGUUCUCUCAUGCUCAUCCCUGUGCCUGUUCCCCACCUGCGUCUAUAACCAUCCUCCUACCUGCUCCUUGCUCCCACCUUCAAAUCUCCCCCUGUGAACCCACUUCUUAAAUCACUCCCCAUCCCAGCCCCAAGUCUGCUCCCAUUUGUUUCCGCCCCCAUCCUUAUAAUCUCAGCCCUAAAUCUUUACCCCUUCCCCCAUUCCAGGGCCCCAGUCUUAAAUCCUCCCUCCUCCCUCCACAUGCCAUUCCCAGCUAGGUAUGGAUGUCCUCUGCCUCUCAAGUCCCCUAGCUGGUGCUUCCCAGGCCCUGGUCUGCCAUUCUGAGGCCCCAUUCCCCCUUCUUGCUCUGAAGGGCCUGGAUCUCAGUUUUCUGGGGCCUCAACGGGAAGCAGAAGCAGGGCCCUGAGGUGGAGAAGCCCCCUCAGCCCUUUGUCCUCAUUCCCCCUUCCCUCUGAUCCCCUAUGACCUCACCCUCCCCCACCACUCCCCUUUCCUCUCUUGGCCUCACCCCCAUCGCUGCAGUAACCUCAGAGGUCAGAAGUCCCCAGCCCUCUUCAUAGGAACAUGUCUUUUGGGGAAGAAAGUCUUGU
rnacentral:lncRNA from 12 species